CACUCCUGCGGGAGGCAGCAGUGGGGAAUAUUGGACAAUGGGCGCAAGCCUGAUCCAGCCAUGCCGCGUGAGUGAUGAAGGCCCUAGGGUUGUAAAGCUCUUUCACCGGUGAAGAUAAUGACGGUAACCGGAGAAGAAGCCCCGGCUAACUUCGUGCCAGCAGCCGCGGUAAUACGAAGGGGGCUAGCGUUGUUCGGAUUUACUGGGCGUAAAGCGCACGUAGGCGGACUAUUAAGUCAGGGGUGAAAUCCCGGGGCUCAACCCCGGAACUGCCGUUGAUACUGGUAGUCUUGAGUUCGAGAGAGGUGAGUGGAAUUCCGAGUGUAGAGGUGAAAUUCGUAGAUAUUCGGAGGAACACCAGUGGCGAAGGCGGCUCACUGGCUCGAUACUGACGCUGAGGUGCGAAAGCGUGGGGAGCAAACAGUAUUAGAUACCCCAGUAGUCCCAUG
rnacentral:rRNA from 1 species